AGUAUUAAGAUUAUUAUUAGUAGUAGUAUUAACGUUACUAUUGUUAUCAGCAAAUUAAUGUUUUUUUUAUUUAUUAUUAGGGUUAUCAUUUUUAUUAUUCAAAAGCAUUUUCUUUUUAUUAUUUAUUAGAAACUUAAAAUAUUUAUAUAUUGCACCAAAUCCAUGGUAUAUUUGGUGGGGUUUAGACAUUUAGUGGCUAAAUUGUGAUAUAUGGUUACAUCAUAAUAGUAGAAUAACAGGCACUUGAUAUAUUCAUUGUAAAUUAGUUUUCAUGAUAACAACAUACUAGCUCGUCUUUGGCCCCAUUUGUUUGCCUUUUAAUUGAAAAAUUAAGAGGCAACCUCUUAAUUUUUCAGAUAUAUAAUGUUUGGUAGCUUCUUAAAAAAUACAUCUUAAUUUUUAAUCUACCUCUUAAAAUUUCAGAUGUGUAUGUGUAUCUGAAUUAAAACAAAGGACAACUAUGCCCUCAAAAACACGGAGCCCUUCUUUUCUUUUCAUAUGUUUCCAUCGACUCCCGCUGCACCUUUUCUCCUCCAUCUCCAAUUCGUGUCCACCUCCCUCCAUUCUACGUCGCCCCCUCUGGCUCCUCUCUACCACCGGCAGCUUCAACAACCCUGCCUCCGCCUCCGCCAACUUCUACAGCAGAUAAUGUUGAAGCAAGAAGAGAAAUUAAGUGCAAGAAAAUUGUGCUUGAAUUGGUUUAAUUGAUCAACUUCCGGUUAUUAUUACGGUCUUUAGAUUAGCAACAUUUUUCCAUUCAUGUGUUCAAUAACAUAUGUGAUUGUAUUUGUAUACAUUAUUUCAUUAAUUUUUAUAUUGAUAUAAGACCUUUCCUAGUUUUACAGUUAUAAUAUUAAGAGUACAUUGUUUA